UACGUAGGGGGCUAGCGUUGUCCGGAAUCAUUGGGCGUAAAGAGCGUGUAGGCGGCCCGGUAAGUCCGCUGUGAAAGUCGGGGGCUCAACCCUCGAAUGCCGGUGGAUACUGUCGGGCUAGAGUGCGGAAGAGGCGAGUGGAAUUCCUGGUGUAGCGGUGAAAUGCGCAGAUAUCAGGAGGAACACCAACGGCGAAGGCAGCUCGCUGGGACGGUACUGACGCUGAGGCGCGAAAGCGUGGGGAGCAAACAGG
rnacentral:rRNA from 1 species